GAUGAACGCUGGCGGCGUGCUUAACACAUGCAAGUCGAACGAAGCACUUUAUUUGAUUUCCUUCGGGACUGAUUAUUUUGUGACUGAGUGGCGGACGGGUGAGUAACGCGUGGGUAACCUGCCUUGUACAGGGGGAUAACAGUUGGAAACGGCUGCUAAUACCGCAUAAGCGCACAGCAUCGCAUGAUGCAGUGUGAAAAACUCCGGUGGUAUAAGAUGGACCCGCGUUGGAUUAGCUAGUUGGUGAGGUAACCGCCCACCAAGGCGACGAUCCAUAGCCGGCCUGUGAGAGUGACCGGACACACUGGGACUGGGACACGGCUCAGACUCCUACGAGAGGCAGGAAUGGGGGAUAUAGCACAAUGGGCGAAAGCCUGAUGCAGCGACGCCGCGAGAGCGAAGAAGUAUUUCGGUAUGUAAAGCUCUAUAAGCAGGGAAGAUAAUGACGGUACCUAACGAAGAAGCACCGGCUAAAUACGUG
rnacentral:rRNA from 1 species